rnacentral:lncRNA from 1 species
AAUACAAAGUGAAGAAUGUUCCCUCCAUCAAUAUAUAUUCAUACUAUACUCACUUGGCACAUGGAUACAAGUAAACGUUCAAAAUGUCCUGAUGUAUCUGAUCUAAUGUCCUUUUCAAGGUCUUGUCCAAAUUCUGAUUGAUAACAUCUGACAAUUUCUCGGAUUUCCUGAUUUGUUCUUGUGCACAAAAUUUCAAUCAAUACACGUUCCUGAGUUCCUGCUCCCUAUGUGAAAUGAAGAAAGUGAGACUUAUACAAAAGAAAAACAAAGUAACAGAAAAUAAUUAAAUCUUACUAGUUCAUCAAAUACUUCUUUGGCCUCCAGACCUAAAAAGCUCUAUUUAUUCAGAUGAUAUGAUACAACAUACUGAUUUAGCUGUCACUGUA